CGUUGGUGAACCAGCGGAGGGAUCAUUACUGAGUACUACACUCUCUACCCUUUGUGAACUAUUAUACCUGUUGCUUCGGCGGCGCCCGCGAGGGUGCCCGCCGGUCUCAUCAGAAUCUCUGUUUUCGAACCCGACGAUACUUCUGAGUGUUCUUAGCGAACUGUCAAAACUUUUAACAACGGAUCUCUUGGCUCCAGCAUCGAUGAAGAACGCAGCGAAACGCGAUAUGUAAUGUGAAUUGCAGAAUUCAGUGAAUCAUCGAAUCUUUGAACGCACAUGGCGCCUUCCAGUAUCCUGGGAGGCAUGCCUGUCCGAGCGUCGUUUCAACCCUCGAGCCCCCGUGGCCCGGCGUUGGGGAUCUGCCACGGCAGGCCCCUAAAACCAGUGGCGGACCCGAAGGCCCUCUCCUUUGCGCAGUAGCAUCAGCCUCGCAUUGGGAUCCCUCGGCGUCCUGCCUCUAAACCCCCCACAAGUCCGCUCCGGCGGCACC
rnacentral:misc_RNA from 1 species